UACGUAGGGGGCAAGCGUUGUCCGGAUUCAUUGGGCGUAAAGAGCGUGUAGGCGGCCAGGUAGGUCGGUUGUGAAAACUGGAGGCUCAACCUUCAGAGGUCGACCGAAACCAUCUGGCUAGAGUCCGGGAGAGGAGAGUGGAAUUCCUGGUGUAGCGGUGAAAUGCGCAGAUAUCAGGAAGAACACCCGUGGCGAAAGCGGCUCUCUGGAACGGUACUGACGCUGAGGGACGAAAGCUAGGGGAGCGAAUGGG
rnacentral:rRNA from 1 species